UGGAACCAACGUCCCCGUGGGGCUAGGGGAGGAAGCCGGGCCGGCUCUCUCCGCGCUCUUCGCAGCCCCGGUUCUGGUUUUAGUGGGUCUGCUGGAAUUUGAAGCCCCGAAGCUCCAACAGGAGGUGCUCCUUUUGGAAAGGGGAACCGACUGCCGGAAAAAAAAAAAAGUUGUUUCUUCCUCUAAAGUCGGGAAUGGUGUGGCCUGCCUCGCUAGGGCUCUUGCUGCAGAGCUUGAACCACUUGGGGGCGUUCCGAGUCCGGGGAGCGCGCGGAACGAAAGUGGUGACGAGCUCCGUACCUCCAGGCUUGCUGUAACUGCCUGGUCCAGUAUGAAUCGAGGUGAGGCCACAACAAAAAUGUGAGCUCAGUCUAGAUCGCGCUCAAAACUCAACCCGGGAAUAAGGCGGCGCGGGAAUCGAGCUUCUUCAGUCCUGUAUAAUGACAGCUAACUCUUUAAUUGUCGGCGUCUUACAUCAUCUCUUUUAAUUCGCAAAACAGACUGAUGAAAUACUUCCUCCUGGUUGCGGAUAAAGCCGAAUAUGCCUGCGGCUAAUAAAGGCAAAGGUGGAAUUUUGAAGUCCGGUAACCUGAUCCCGUUGCUGAGGUCUUUAACCGUGAAGCUGUACAGUAAGCUCAGUUAGUUGGAGAAAGGGCUUGGAAAACUCAAGAGAAUCAGCAAGGACAUAUCUUCGGGUGAGUGACACCUGAACCUACGCUUGGGCGAUGAGUUAAUCAAGUUGAAGAAGUGUGCAAAAGAUCUGUCCAGAGGAGUUGUUGAACAAGUCCUUCUCCACCACAGAUGGAGUCAGAGAGUGAGCGCCGUGCCUUUAUGGUGUUUUUGCCUCAAAGAUGAAUCCAGCGGGCUAUGAUGAAACCUCAACAAUCUCUCGUCUUCAUCCACUUACACUUCACGCUGUCUCCUCGUGUCCUUGUGAUGUCCACUCACCUGGCCCUGGUCUACACACUGAGAGAAGAGAGAGCAGGAGCUUUGCCCCUGUCUCUCUUUGCCCCUGUUUCCCAUGACCUCACAGGAGAAUCCGUCCUAUGCAAAUUGUGUUCUUUCAGUUCAGAAAUCACCCCUUAUCCCACCCCAACCUGGUAAGGCUGGGUGUUGAGUUAGCUGUUUGCUCAGCUAGCUAUAUGCCCUGGGUUUAAUCCUCAGUCAUGCAAAAAUUAUUUCAAAUUAAAAGUUGCUUAGUUACGCCUACUAGAACUGGUAAGUAAGGAGCUGGGGAGAAAAGCAUGAGGAUCAGAGGUAAGAGCCCCAGCACUGAUGUAAAUGCUGAGCGAUUGUGACGACCUUCCUAGAAUCCCAGCACUUGGUGAGGCAGAGAUCCCCAGGGCAAGCUAGCUAGCUAACCAGUCUAGACUAACUAGACUAGUCAAAUCAAGUGAGCUCUAGGUUCACAGGGAGACCCUUGCUUCAAUAAAUAAAAUGGAAAGCAAUGGAAGAAGA